UUUUUCCGUUUUCUUCUUCCCCUAUCUCCUUCAGUCUGCCUAAAGUAAAUAGCUGAUUAAGUAAAUCUGACACACAUGGAUGUGCAUUGAAACCUUUGACAAAUGAGACUGGAAACAGGUCUUUCAUAAAGUUGUAGAAUCAUAGAAUCAUAGGGGUUGGAAAGGACCUCUGAGAACAUCAAGUCCAAUCCCUCUGCUAAAGCAGGUUCCCUGGAAUAGAUUGAACAGGAAAGCAUCUAGGUAGGUCUAGAAUAUCUCCAGAGGAGACUCCGCCUCUGUGGGCAGCCUGUUCCACUACUCUGUCACUCACGGUAAGGAAGUUCUUUUGCAUGUUUGUAUGGAACUUCUCAUUGUUCAAUUCUUGCCCAUUGUCCUUAGUCCUGUUGCUGCUCCCCACUGAGAAGAGCAUGGCCCCAUCCAUUUAACUCCUGUACUUCAGAUAUUUAUCAACAGUGAUGAUACCCUCUUUCAGUCUUUGGGCUGAACAGACCCAGAUCUCUUAGCCUUUCCUCAUACCGGAGAUACUGCAGGCCUCUAAUCACUUUGUGGCCCUCUGCUGGACUCUUUUAGAAGAUCCCCAUCUUUUUUGAACUGAAGAGCCCAGAAUCUUACACACUAUUCCACAUACAGCCUCACCAGGGCAGAGUAAAGGAGGAAGAUCACCUCCCUCAACCUUCUGGCCAUGCUCUUUUUAAUGCUCCCCAGGAUACCGUUGGCCUUCUGGGCCAGAAGGGCUCACUGCUGAAUCAUGGUCAUCCUGUUAUCCACCAGAACACUCAAGUCCUUCUCUACAAAGCUCCUCUCCAGCAGGUCAGCCCCUAACUUGUACUGAUGCAUGAGGCUAUUCCUCCCCAGGUGCAAGACUCUACAUUUGCUCUUGUUGAACUUGAUCAGGUUUCUCACUACCCAACUCUCCAAUCUGUCCUGGUCUUGUUAAAUGGCGGCACAGUCUUCUGGUAUGUCAGUCACUCCUCUCAGCUAUGUAUCAUCAGCAAACUUGCCUUCUAUCCCUUCAUCCAGGUCAUUGAUGAGGAUGUUGAACACAGGACACAGUACCGACUCUGGGGAACACCUCUGGUUACAGAACUCCAACUAGACUCUGCACCACUGAUCACAACCCUCUGAGCUCUGCUGGAUGGCUGGAUGAGUGUUCUGAAUCCUAAACUUCGUUUCAAAAUGUUGCAUAUUCUUACCCAGUUAUCAAAGUUUUUGGUUUGAAGGGCUGAGGUACCUGCUCCAUUAAGCGUUGCGAAGAAAGUGUCUAAGAGAAAAUUGAAAUUUAUCACAGUCCUGUCCUAAACUUUCUUCUUGGUUAUGAUAGUGGACUCCUUGCCUAAUUAUUGUGAACGAUGAAGGAUGUAGCUGUAUUUUUGCCUCAGUUUGUACAUGAGAAAAAUAGUAAAGUCUCUUGUAAUAAAAUUGCUUUAAAAUGCUUAGAAAAACAAAUGGGAUCAUUUACAAUUUUUUUUUUCUUUUAAAUCCACGAAGAAUGUUUUUUUUACUCUUUAACCUCAUAUGCAGUGUCAGAGACAAUUUAGCUUUUUUAUUUUUGUUUCAAGUGGAAUUGUGUGUACAUGGCAUGGAUUAAUUUUUUAAAUUAAUUUGGUUUUGGUGUGUAUAUUUCUUUCUUCUUCCUAGAGGAUAUCCUGCAAAAGCAAAGUUCCUCAAGGAAGCAAGAAGAGACCACGAAAUAGGUGUCCAAAUGACAGCCUGAGAUCUGAUUUGAGCCCAGGAUAUAAAGACAUCUGUAAUGGGAAAAUUUCCUAGGAGAGAAUUACAGUCCUGCAAGACAGCCACUGCUUUCAGGCUGGGGAGACCCUGCAGCUAGACCUGGCAGCUUUUAGCAUGGGAGGAGGAGAGCUCAGAAAGGAAAUUCUUUUCACUUGGGAGAGGAGAUGAGGAAAGAAGACUUAUUGUAUAUCAGCAUGAACUACUGAAAAUCUGGAUUCUCACAAUUAAUGGCUUAUCAGCUUGGAUUAGAUGGAACUGUUUGUGCCUGAACUACAAAGGAGGAUUAAAAUAAAUAAGGGUGCAUCAUCCAAAGUUAUUGUCAGGAAAACCUCAUAGUACAGUUUCAACAAGACAAUAAAUGUAUAAUGAUAGAUAGUAUCUGAUCAACCACUGUGGAACAGCUGACUAUAUUAAUAGGACUUGACAUUUGUUCUGUUUAAUGGAGAAGGUGCUGAGUACCUAGGUUUCUACUAUGCUAAUUGCUUGGUCAUUUGAAAAGGAAAUCAAUACAAUACAGCCCUCACAGGAGAAAAUGUUGACUGAUUCUUUACAUUUCCUACACCAAAAAUAGCACUAAAUCAUAGUCAUUAAUUCAUUUGACUAAUUCACUACUUCAGAUUUCAUUCAUUCCCAUUUAAGAUUUUACAACUAUCAUAUUAAUAUUCUGCGAUAUUAAUGACAGGAGAGAUCAGAUAAUGUAAUAUGACUAAGAGAAGGGAGAAGGUUGCCUUUGGAAAGUUUGUAUAUCCCACUCCUGAUCCCACUGAAAUUAAUUACAGUUAGCCAUUUACUGCUGUGAGAUAAGACAAGGCUUGUGUAUAGGUAUUGGUACACCUGUGUGCUCUCAGUUCUCAUGUGUGUGGGAGCAACUAAGAAACAUUCAAUGCUUUGAAAAAGAAAAAGGAAAUGAAAAAGAAUCUUAAAGUGACUAUAUCUCUGUGACUGCAACACUGAUGUGCUGCAUCUGGCCCUCCACAGAGUCCACCCUUGUAUCCAGUCAAGCUGUUGAGCAAGUUUAUAGCCAUUUCUCUGUCAAAGACCACAGAAGUCAAUGACGCAUGCUAAAAAUUAAAUGACUGCAUAGCUAAGAUGAUGAUCCAUGUCUAUAUUUUUACUCCACAAAUCCCCUCAACAACGUAGGCUUUAAUUUAGAUUUUCAUUCCAGUUGGGAUAUAUUAAUCAGUUUUCAAACAGAACAUGUGGAUACUGCAAAGUGCAUCAGCAUUUGUGGGACAAAAUCAGAAUAUGGGGACCUGCUUUUCUCCUAGAUAUCACAAAAGAUGUUCAUAUUUUAAUCUUUUUCACUUCCUUGACACCUCACAUAAUGUUUUUGGUUUUUUCCCCUUGUACACCUGUAGAGCAUUUCGUAAAGCCAGAAAGUAUUCUCUACAUACAUUAGGAUGGGUUAAAUAUGCUACAUGUGAAUAUCUUUUAAAUUCAGAUUUAAAAUAUCACCCAGGCUGUUUUUCAAAAUUUGUACAAUUAUCCUCAAAGGCAGUAUUGAACUCAGGGGCAUGCUCUGUCUGUGCUAUAACCUUGGGCAGUGUUUUCCUAACACAGACUGCUUGCAGUAUCUUCAAAGCAGAGUUGAAAGACUGAACAUGUUUUUCCACGUUAAAUCUAUAAACAUUUUUUAUUACUACUACCUUCAAUUGUUUGUGCCAUUAGCUUAAUUCAGACAAAAAUCUUGUUCACUUUCCCACAGAAUUUUGGUGGAACUACUCAUACAAUUGAGGUGAUUGGCACCUAACACUAGUUAGGCUAUUUUUACAGACUUUUAUUGGAAUUAUUGAUAGUUUACAAGCUUUAAGCUCUUCAUGGCAGAAAGAAGGGCCUUAUUUGCUUCAAAGUUAAAGUAAAUUGACAUAGAUCUGCUAUUGUUCAGGUUGCAUUUAGUGCAUUAAAUUAAGAAAUACAGUCAAGAUUCUAUACAAUAUUGAUGAUUUUUAAACAAAAGCUUAAAGCUAAGACAAGUUUAAACUCCUCAGGCUAAUUUUUGAAGCUGUCCCUCUAAAAAAGCAUCAGAAUAUUUUGUGAAUACGAUUUUACAUACUUAAACCUGCAUGUAGGUAUAGAAAUCAGGUACAGUUCCAAUACAACAAAAUAAGAUCUAUUCAUCCUUUUGACCAUAAAGACAUUUUGUUAUUAUUCUUUUCCCUUAUGACUGCAUUUAAGGAACUUUUAUAAAACGUCCAUCACACUUUUAAAAUAAAUAUUCAAAA